rnacentral:misc_RNA from 1 species
AUCUCUCAACCCCCCUGUUUUGUAAUGAGACAGGCGUUUGGGCUUGGAUUAUGGCUGCUUGCUGGUCUUUUAGUUAAGACCGGCUCAGCUGAAAUACAAGAGCAACCCAGUUUGAAUGACAACGGUUUGACUCGGCGUAAUAGUAUUAUUUCGCUGAGGACGUUGUGUAUCAAGAUAGUUGGUGCUUCUAAUUCGGCAGAGUGUGAAAGCUCUACCAUCUUAAGC